GGAGAUUAAUUUUAUGCUAAUUGUUUGUCUUUUUACAGAUAUUGAUAUUUGAACACGAUCGAAAGUAAGAAAGUCGCUGUGAUACGUUUUAAGAUCGUUUCUCAAGGAUUUUUUAAGAAACGAGGGCAAACCAACAUUGAUUCAAAAGUGGAUAACAAGAGAUAAAUCUUGCGCUUCCAACAAAGUCGAAGAGAAAAGUUUCAGCUGGACAACUGCCAGAAGAGCGCUUGUAAUUCAAUUUUCAUUCAUCUCGGCUUUUUUACCGUACGAGGAAAAAGCUUUUUCUCCUACGAGAAACGUUAGCCUUGGCCUGCCUUAUCAUCCGUUUCCUGCGUGGCCUCCAAGAUGGAGCAAGCACCGCUUACGUC